rnacentral:rRNA from 1 species
AGCGAACGCUGGCGGCAGGCUUAACACAUGCAAGUCGAGCGGGCCCUUCGGGGUCAGCGGCGGACGGGUGAGUAACGCGUGGGAACGUGCCUUCUGGUCUGGAAUAACCCUGGGAAACUAGGGCUAAUACCGGAUACGCCCUUUUGGGGAAAGGUUUACUGCCGGAAGAUCGGCCCGCGUCUGAUUAGCUAGUUGGUGGGGUAACGGCCUACCAAGGCGACGAUCAGUAGCUGGUCUGAGAGGAUGAUCAGCCACACUGGGACUGAGACACGGCCCAGACUCCUACGGGAGGCAGCAGUGGGGAAUAUUGGACAAUGGGCGCAAGCCUGAUCCAGCCAUGCCGCGUGAGUGAUGAAGGCCUUAGGGUUGUAAAGCUCUUUUAUCCGGGACGAUAAUGACGGUACCGGAGGAAUAAGCCCCGGCUAACUUCGUGCCAGCAGCCGCGGUAAUAC